CUUGAGUUUAGGUGACGAUCGUAACAGUAACCUAACCUAACCUAAUCCUGUUGUGUAUAUCGACUUGAGUUUAGGUGACGAUCGUAACAGUAACCUAACCUAACCUAAUCCUGUUGUGUAUAUCGACUUGAGUUUAGGUGACGAUCGUAACAGUAACCUAACCUAACCUAAUCCUGUUGUGUAUAUCGACUUGAGUUUAGGUGACGAUCAUAACAGUAACCUAACCUAACCUAACCUAAUCCUGUUGUGUAUAUCAACUUGAGUUUAGGUGACGAUCGUAACAGUAACCUUACCUAACCUAAUCCUGUUGUGUAUAUCGACUUGAGUUUAGGUGACGAUCGUAAUAGUAACCUAACCUAACCUAAUCCUGUUGUGUAUAUUGACUUGAGUUUAGGUGACGAUCAGAACAGUUGCUUUAGUCUCCCUGUCGUGCUGAGGAGGGUUAACGCUUGGAAAUAUGCUGCAAUUCAACAAGAAGUAAUUUGCUUGGGCAUUAAUUUAUAUGUUAUCAAUAGGGGAAGCACUUGAUUCAGUAAAUAUAUCUUGACUCAAGUUUAGGUGCCGAUCAGAACAGUUGCUUUGUUAGUUUAGCGCCCCUAUACUAUGCGGACUUUUUUGUUGCUCUUUUUGUUAUAUUGUCCUUGAGCUCUCUCCCAUGCUGUAAUAAAAAAAAGAAGGGCCUCAUAUGGUUCACCUGGUGAGGGAACGAGUUACUCUCUGCCCUCCUUGGAAUCUGUGUGUGUAGGGCAAACUAACUGAUAUUCUAAAAACUUAACAAUGGACUUUUCGUUUUAACUCAGAAAUCUGCACCUGAGCCUUUAGAACACAUGUCUUUCAGGUUCAAGACUGGUGAGGGAACAAGUUACUCUCUGCCCCCCUUGGAAUUUGUGUAUGUAGGGCAAACUAACCGAUACACUAUAAACUUAACUUCUCUCUUUGGCUCGGAACCUUUCCC